ACCAAGGUCACAGCAAACACCAGUGUCUGUGGCUGAAGAUCUAGGGAGGCUUGUGGCCGCAUCACCCCAAAUCAGACUACAGAUAGAGGUCCCUCAUCCAUGUGGCCCACCCCCAGUACCUGGUCCUGACAUCUGGGGCAGAUCCACAUGCCCUUGGGAAUUGUUUUCAGAGGAGGGUCUAAGCAAUCCAGAUGAUACACACGCGAACACGUGUCACACAUCAGCAACUGGCCACUCUUUCUGCAAACACUGCAAAAAUCCUCGUGGAUAUCACCCUAUGAGACGGAGAGGAAAGAAUCUUCUUAAAGAGUAUCCACUGUGGAGGAGCACGCAGAGGGCUAGGGAACCUCACAGCAGCAAGCUUUGAGUUCCAAGCAUGCCACUCUUCACUGGGACGCUAGUUCUUCACGUUUGCUCCCACGGCCAGACAGCAGGAACACCAGCUAAUGUUUUUAGGGACACUGGUAGGUGGUUCUGCUUAAUACUGGGAUUUUUAGGUAACAUGAAAACUAACUAUCAUGGGGCAGUUUCCCUGCACCUGUAUCCCUGAGACAGAACGUAAGAUCUUUCAACUGGAAAGAGCAAUGCACUGAUGGUUAUACUUUGCUUUGGCUGCUGUGAUCUGAAAAGUAUGUCUUCACUGUCUACUGAAGCACUGCAUGGCUCCUACAGACCCAAGAACAGAGAAGGAAAUAGUCUCUGGUGAAUGAAAACACCUUCAACUACUAGUCAACACAUUCCCAUAGUUACCAACAAGUUUGGUCUCACACACAAACACACACACACCUCUCCAAGAGAGUAAUCUCAGUAGGCUAUAUUCAACUGGAAGACAGCAUUUGCUACUACACAUGAUGGUACCUGCAAUGGGUCGCUGACAUGAGAUAUCCUUUCUUUUCACAAAUAAACUACGGUGUUUGUGCAUAAUGGUGAAUGCCUGUAAUCCAAGCACCAGGGAGGCAGAAGCAGGUGGAUUCUGCAAGUGUAAGGCCAGCCUGGGCUACACAGCCAAUUCCAACUCAGCUAGGAACAUCCAGCAAGGCCCUGUCUCAAAAAGGUUUCUUUUUGCUAAGUUUGCUGUUUCCUCUCAGUGUAAUAUUUGCCAUUACUUUCUGUGAAUGAUCUACAAGUUUUUCAGCAAUACUGGUAACAAGCGCUUCUUUUUGGUUCAAGUUCUGGCCCUUUAAAAAAUCCAGCUGAUUUCACAUCAGAGAGAAGUGUUUGGUACCUGCUGGUUCAAUAGAUUAUCAUCUUCAUGCCACUGUCUGGUAUGGUUUCACUAUGAAAAUGCAUUGAGGACAGAGGCUCCCAUAAACUCCAUCCCCAGCUAUUUACCAUCAUAACCACACCACCAUCUGUGUUUUCCUUCACAUCUGUCUGUGCAAGAGCAUCAAGCUAGAAUGUCCUCUCAUCCAGGGACACACAGACAGCCCGUUGCCUAGGCUGGGCUUGUUGACUGCUUAUGUCAUAGUGAGUGUGGACAUUACCUUCUUCAACCCACUUUCACACUCUACUUUUGAGACACUAAUUCCUUUGGGAUUUAUUGCUCUAAUAUAAUAAAGUGGCCUAACAAAACUGAACACACAAUGGCAAUCCACAAUGUAAAGAGACAUCAGCUGAUUCCCUCAGCUGCCCUAUAGACGUUGUCUGAGACAAGCACAGCACCGCCUUCCUUAGGAAUGUUACAGGACACCUGGGAAAUUAAUCACUCAUCUUCUGCGUCAAGUUUACAGGAUUCAUAUAAAAACAUCGUUUCAGAACUCUUCCUUUCAGCACCCGUACCUGGGCCCGCAGGACUCUGCUAAAAGACCCUGCCCCAGGUCGACCUGACGUGGUAACUGCACUGCUGAGGGAAAGGAACACCGAGAGGACUAAACCCCGCACCCUGAGCUGACGGGCCGUGCAGAGGGUCCUACCUGAGGGUUCUCUUCUCGUUUUGGUUUUGGGGCAGCAGGUGGAGUGAUGGUACGGCUCUCUGCUUGUUUCUCCUCUGUUUCUGUGUGGGAUUUAACUGUCUAGGAGAGAACAAUUAAGCAAAAAUUCAGAAUUAGUUUUUUAUAAAAAAAAUUGAGAACAGUUUAAUAAUGUACUCCAAUACAAAACAUUAACAGAUAAGUUCAUAUGAUGCAUCUUGUUGAGGAGGAAGAAAAAAUGUCAAAGUCCAGCAAGAGACACUGGAUUUCAUGACUGGGGUAAAUAUGACUCUAUAAAUACAAUCAGAUAAAGGUAUAUAGUUCUUACAUAUAAAAAAAGAAGUGCUGAAGGUAAGGUACCUGUUGCCAAGUUUGAUAACCAGAAAUUUGAUCCCCAAGAUCCACAUGGCGGAAAAAGACAACUAACCUCCCUGAGUGUCUCUUGACCCCCACAUGGGCACCACGGCACACUCACUGCCCAGGAAAUAAUAAGGCAAACAAGGGCUCAGAGGUUAAAAGCACUGGCUUCUCUUGAAGUGGAUCUUGGUUCAGUUCUCAGCACCUACAUGGCAGCUCACAACCAUCUGUAACUCUGGGCCCUCUUUUGGCCUAUUUGGGCACCAGGCACACACAUGGUGUACAGACAUAAAUUCAGGCAAAAUAUCCAAAUAUAUGAAAUUAAAAGGUGAUAAGAAAUUAUUUUUUUAAAGGCAAAGAAAAACUAAAGUAGAGGCUGUUUUCCUUGGCUGUGGGAUGUGGAGAUUUCCAGAAACAUCCCAUUGUUGUUAUAUACGGGUCAAGUUCUGUGUCCAAAUGUUCUUAAGAUCUGCGUGACAUAACAGUUCUUCUAUCCCAAACUUUUCUUCAGAACAACCCCAAGCACUACCCAGAACUACCUUAACUUGGGGUGCUUAAAAACUGCCUUGCAAGAGGCUGAAGUUCUAAUCCCUCCCAACUCCUUCUAGAAGCAUUCACUUCAACAUAGAAACACCAGUUACAUUACUAUCUGCUGACACAAAUGGUAGCUAGUACAACGGCAGUCUUGCAUUACUGUUCUUAUUAUGAGUAAUGGCUAGUUCUUUUAUGAGUUCUGUAAAAAUAAAAUGGUUUUAGGACAGUAGACAUAAAACUAUAAAUACAAACUUAAUUUACUUUUAGAAAACUAAUGAAAAUUGUAGGUGCAAUGGUCUUUUUGUAAGGUAACAACAAGUAAUUAAGUAAAUUAGAAUAAAAUCUGAUUAUUGAUAGGCAAGAGCUGACUGCAAGACUUUAGCCCCAUAAAAAAGAUACCGAAGUAUCUUUUCAUACUUUGCCUCUGGCUUUGCACGCUGUUACAUAGGUAAGAGAUGUGCUUAUCAAUACUGGGGCAGUCACUGCACCGGGGCCCAGCUGCUGCCCCACUGCUCUAAGCAGCGUCCUGCCGUAAGUCUCCAUCUGUAUUACACGCCGUGUGAGCAGGGGCUGCUUGUACACUCCUUGUUACUGUACGCCUUUGAGCUGGCAUGGCACCUCAUGCUUGCAUUCAAUAAAGCACUGGCCUCCAGGAGAAUCAAUCAAACUUCAAUCUCUCUCUCAAUCCCCUUCUCCUUCCUUACCCACAUAGUUUUUAAUUUAGCCCAAAAAGGGCCUAUUUCCUCCAUAAAGCAAACCUUUAAUGGGAAAGCCAUUCAUAGUGACAUUACUAAGGUUUGAGGUACUCAGAAUUAGCUUAUUUUCAUGACGUUGAGUGUGGAAGGACAGGAGAGUGAGACAGGUCAGCCACAGGGUUUGUAUUCCAUUCCUGUGUGAACAGAUCAACAGUUCCCCGAGAGCCUCUCUCUCCUAUUUCCAAGGUUGAACAAACACUUGGCAGCAAUGCUCCUGGGCAGGGCAAGCCCCUCUGCACCAAGGAUUACCCACGCCCACAUUUCUCUUUCUCUCUCUGGAAAGCAGAACACACUGAGUCGCAUAAAGAACAUUGAAAAAACCGCAUACAAACAAAAAUAAAGCAAUCCAAACAUUAGGGGGAGGGUCCUUUCUCUCAAGGACCUUUGGCUCUAGGAGAGGGCAGCUGUCUCGUGCCCAGGUCUAUGGAGACAUUCAGGCCAGAUGAAAUAAUCUCCUGCCCACAACCAGCAAAAAGGCAGGCCAAGAGUCACUUGACUGAGUUUAGACAUAAACUACCCAACCCUAGUUAAGCCUCGGGACAGCUGCAGCUCUGGCCUUUGACUACAAACUUGUGAGGCCUGGAGCCCAAACUAUCCAGCUAAGCUGCAGACCAGAAGGCAGAGGAGCAAUGUUCUUAAAGGGUUGCGUAAAACAAACAAACAAACAAAACCCAGAAAAAACAAAGCCAUUGCCUAACAAUCCUAUAUUGUGUUAAAACUAUCCUUGAAGAAUGAAGGAUCAAUUAAGAGAUUGAGAUAAACAAAAACUAAGGCUCUCUUAUCCACUGCCAGCACACCUGCUGUAAAGAAAUGACAGGCAGCAAACUGUCACCUGAAGCCACAAAGAGAACUCCAGUCAAGGUACGACACAGGCCACAUCACAGCAGUUCUGACUAGUAACUGCUCAUUCUUUUCCUACAUAAAGAUGAAUGUAUGAGACAACCGUUAAAGCUGGACUAUUGUUACACACUAUAAAGAUGUAACUUUGACACAACAUGCAUUGUAGAGCAGAACUGCACAGGAGCAGAGAUUCUAUGUUACUGAAACUGAACUGGGAUUAAUUAAAAUGAGAUUGUUAAAGCUAACUGUAAUCUUCAUUAUAACUACUAAGAAAAUUAAAUAUACAUGGAAAAGAAGGAUAUAGUGAAGAGAUGAAACUGUACACCAGGAAAAAGAAACACAAAAAGGCCAGUACUGAAGGAACGAGGGAAGAAGACGAUGUAAGACACGCAGACAGCAACACAGCCAAGUACCUCCGCACUGGUGACCACUGAAGUCCAACUGGAUUCACCCUGCAACUAAAAGGCAGAGUGGCAGAGUGGAUAGGUAAGUCAUGCUUCCGCUGGAGCCUCACUCUAGAGCGGACGGGAGAAACACUGAGCAGACUAUUGUUGUGUGUUCUGGGGCGGAUCAGCAUAGAGCUUGUUCAGUUUUCUUAUUUACUCGUGUUUUCCUGUCUACGUGCUAGAGCCAUUAUUUAAACUGGGGAAUUAAUACUUCCAGCCAUUGGUGUGGGGCAGUCUGUCUCUUCAAUUCUGUCAGUAUUUACUUCAUAAAUCUUGGGAUUUUCUUGAUGGGUGCAUAUAUUAAAAUUCUUAUACCCCCUUUUCAGAUCAAUUCUUUCAUCUCUGUAUUUGGCACAAGAAACAUCUAUGCUGGGGCUGGAGAGAUGGCUCAGCAGUUAAGAACACUGGCUACUCUUCCAGGGGUCCUAAGUUCAAUUCCCAGCACCCACAUGGUGGCUCACAACCACCUGUUAUGAGAUCUGGCUCCCUCUUCUGGCCUGCAGGC